CUUAACUCCUCCACCUUCUUAUUCUCUCGAUCCGUCAAAUACUUUCGUCUUGAAACUUCCCUUAACCUCAAAAUCUCAUCGCUACUCAAAACCUUCUCCCAAGAACUCAACUUCGUUUUAUUCUCGUCUUCUUCUUCUUCUUCUUCUUCUACAGAUAUUCUUCUUCUCUUUGUAGAAAUUUUCUUUGGUAUAUUGAAUUUUAUAGAAACAGGAAGACGACAUGUUGUUUUCUCAACAGAUAAAAACUGAAUUGUCGAAUUCAUCUCUUCCGGGAAACCAAGGAUCUUCUUCUCCGGAACAUUAGUCUCCAUUCUUCGAUUUACACCAGAAUAGAUUCCACGGGGCUGAGAUUUUUGUUUGUCGAGAGACGAACCCUAAUUCUCAGAGUUAGCUCUGAAAUCUAAUUUUUGUUUCGAUUUGUUUUACCAAAAGAAACAAAUCGUAUAUAUAUAUAUAUAGAAUUCUCG